GUAUGCUGUGCUGGUCAGUGCCCUGGUGCUGAUGGCCAAGGUCAAGAGAAAGGGUUCCUGAAACCACCUCAGAGGCAGAGGCGGGAGCUUCCUGCUUGCUAUUCCCCAAUACGGAUUCUCCUUUUUCUACUUCUAGCCAGUGCUUCUCAAGAGCUGUUUUCAUCUCUCCACUCACCCCAAUAGUUACCCACUAUGUUCCUGAACACCUGGACGCUGAUGACCCAAACCUCCCUAACCCAGGGGGACCCCUAGUGUGACUAAAUUGACUAUUGACUGAAUCAAUAAAAAUGAUGUGUUCUGGCUUGAC